UACGGGGGGGGCAAGCGUUGUCCGGAAUUACUGGGCGUAAAGGGCGCGUAGGCGGCCUGCUAAGUCGGAUGUGAAAUCCCUCGGCUCAACCGAGGAACUGCAUCCGAUACUGGCGGGCUUGAAUCCGGGAGAGGGAUGUGGAAUUCCAGGUGUAGCGGUGAAAUGCGCAGAUAUCAGGAAGAACACCUAUGGCGAAGGCAGCUCUCUGGGACGGUACUGACGCUGAGACGCGAAAGCGUGGGGAGCGAACAGG
rnacentral:rRNA from 1 species